rnacentral:rRNA from 1 species
CUACGGGUUGCUCCAGUGGGGAAUAUUGGACAAUGGGGGAAACCCUGAUCCAGCAAUGCCGCGUGUGUGAAGAAGGCCUGCGGGUUGUAAAGCACUUUCGGUUGGGAGGACUGCUUCUAGCACUAAUAUUGUUGGAAGUUGACGUUACCUUCAGAAGAAGCACCGGCUAACUGCCGUGCCAGCAGCCGCGGUAAUACGGAGGGUGCAUGCGUUAAUCGGAAUUACUGGGCGUAAAGCGCGCGUAGGCGGCUAGAUCAGUCGGGUGUGAAAGCCCCGGGCUUAACCUGGGAACUGCAUCCGAUACUGUCUAGCUUGAGUACAGGAGAGGAGAGUGGAAUUCCACAUGUAGCGGUGAAAUGCGUAGAUAUGUGGAGGAACACCAAUGGCGAAGGCAGCUCUCUGGCCUGAUACUGACGCUGAGGUGCGAAAGCGUGGGGAGCAAACAGGAUUAGAUACCCGCGUAGUC